UACGUAGGGGGCAAGCGUUGUCCGGAUUUAUUGGGCGUAAAGAGCGUGUAGGCGGCCAGGUAGGUCUGCUGUGAAAACUCGAGGCUUAACCUCGAGCUGUCGGCGGAAACCAUCUGGCUAGAGUCCGGAAGAGGAGAAUGGAAUUCCCGGUGUAGCGGUGAAAUUCGUAGAUAUUAGGAAGAACACCAGUGGCGAAGGCGGCUCACUGGUCCGGUACUGACGCUGAGGUGCGAAAGCGUGGGGAGCAAACAGG
rnacentral:rRNA from 1 species